rnacentral:rRNA from 1 species
UGGCGGACGGGUGAGUAACGCGUGGGUAACCUGCCUCACACUGGGGGAUAACAGUUAGAAAUAGCUGCUAAUACCGCAUAAGCGCACGGUUCCGCAUGGAACAGUGUGAAAAACUCCGGUGGUGUGAGAUGGGCCCGCGUCUGAUUAGCCAGUUGGCGGGGUAACGGCCCACCAAAGCGACGAUCAGUAGCCGGCCUGAGAGGGUGAACGGCCACAUUGGGACUGAGACACGGCCCAA